rnacentral:rRNA from 1 species
GACGGAGCACGCCGCGUGAGUGAUGAAGGUUUUCGGAUCGUAAAGCUCUGUUGUUAGGGAAGAACAAGUACCGUUCGAAUAGGGCGGUACCUUGACGGUACCUAACCAGAAAGCCACGGCUAACUACGUGCCAGCAGCCGCGGUAAUACGUAGGUGGCAAGCGUUGUCCGGAAUUAUUGGGCGUAAAGGGCUCGCAGGCGGUUUCUUAAGUCUGAUGUGAAAGCCCCCGGCUCAACCGGGGAGGGUCAUUGGAAAC